GUGUGCUCUCGAAGACGAGUUGUUUGGGAAUGCAGCUCAAAAUGGGUGGUAAAUUCCAUCUAAAGCUAAAUAUUGGCGAGAGACCGAUAGCGAACAAGUACCGUGAGGGAAAGAUGAAAAGCACUUUGGAAAGAGAGUUAAACAGUACGUGAAAUUGUUGAAAGGGAAACGCUUGAAGUCAGUCGCGUCGGCUGGAAUCAACCCUGCAGUUUUGCGGGUUGUGUACUUUGCAGUCGAUGGGUCAGCAUCAGUUUUGACCGCCGGAGAAGGGUCGGAGGAAUGUGGCCCUCCGGGUGUGUUAUAGCCUCCGGUCGCAUGCGGUGGUUGGGACUGAGGAACUCAGCGCGCCGAAAGGUCGGGCAAACAAGCCACGUUCGCGCUUAGGAUGCUGGCGUAAUGGCUUUAAUCGACCCGUCUUGAAACACGGACCAAGGAGUCUAACAUGCCUGCGAGUGUUUGGGUGGAAAACCCAUGCGCGCAAUGAAAGUGAAAGUUGAGACCUCUGUCGUGGAGGGCAUCGACGCCCGGACCUGAGCUUCUGCGACGGACCCGCGGUAGAGCAUGCAUGUUGGGACCCGAAAGAUGGUGAAUAGGCCUGAAUAGGGUGAAGCAGAGGAAACUC
rnacentral:rRNA from 1 species